AUACUUACCUGCUGCCGGGACCUCGUUGAUCAGAGGACGAGCCCAGGGCGAGGCGCGGGCAUUGCACUCGCGUUGACCCCUGCCACUACCCCAAACUGGGACAGAUGGGGCAUGCAAAUUGC
rnacentral:snRNA from 1 species